ACGAAGGGGGCUAGCGUUGCUCGGAAUUACUGGGCGUAAAGGGAGCGUAGGCGGACAGCUAAGUCAGAGGUGAAAGCCCAGGGCUCAACCCUGGAAUUGCCUUUGAUACGGGCUGUCUUGAGUAUGGGAGAGGUGUGUGGAACUCCGAGUGUAGAGGUGAAAUUCGUAGAUAUUCGGAAGAACACCAGUGGCGAAGGCGACACACUGGCCCAUUACUGACGCUGAGGCUCGAAAGCGUGGGGAGCAAACAGGA
rnacentral:rRNA from 1 species